UCCGGUUCGUCACCGGCGGUCUCCUUAGAGUUCCCACCAUUACGUGCUGGCAACUAAGGACAAGGGUUGCGCUCGUUGCGGGACUUAACCCAACAUCUCACGACACGAGCUGACGACAGCCAUGCAGCACCUGUGUUCUGGUUCCCGAAGGCACUCCUCUAUCUCUAAAGGAUUCCAGACAUGUCAAGCCUAGGUAAGGUUCUUCGCGUUGCAUCGAAUUAAAGAACAUGCUCCGCUGCUUGUGCGGGCCCCCGUCAAUUCUUUUGAGUUUUAGCCUUGCGGCCGUACUCCCCAGGCGGAACACUUAACGCGUUGGCUGCGGCACAGAGGGAUUCGACUCCCCCCACACCUAGUGUUCAUCGUUUACGGCAUGGACUAC
rnacentral:misc_RNA from 1 species